AGUGGGAUAGCUGGGCCAAAUGGUGGUUCCAUUUCAAGUUUUCUAAGGAAUCUCCAUACUACUUUCCAUAAUGGUUGCAUCAAUUUGCAGACCCACCAGCAAU
rnacentral:pre_miRNA from 1 species